GGUAGGGACAUGGGCCUGUUUAAAUACAACUUAGGGUCUCUCAGGAGGUAGAGGGAAGAGCAACUGUGUAAUCCCAUCCUGGCUUUCAAAACUGAAACCUCCACCAAGGCCUCUCCUCCAGUCAGAUUAUGUUCUCUCACAAGCCUAAUCACUCAGUAAUUAGGGACCCUUUACCUGAGAUCCCCUCGGCUCUGCAAGUGUGGAGGCAGUCUAUGUGCUACUCUCUGGGCAGCAUGCAGCAGCCUCUGGGCUGUAACUGAUACUUGUGCCCAAGAAGUCUCCAAGUUGGUAUCAUCAGCCACUCAGGCUCCAAACAGCUGCAAGUCCUUGCUCACUUCAGUAAACACGUAUAAAAAACAAACAAACAAACAAAACAAAACAAAAAAACCUGAACCAAAAAAGUUGCUUAGAUUCCUUGCUAAAUAGGAUGGAGAAAUGCUCUGCUGCCUAUUACCAUAGCCCUUUGCAUCCUGAUGAGCUAAUGCAUGAAGCACUAUGACCACUGUGGAAAGUCUUCCACUGUUGCUUACUGACAGUAGUCGUACCAAAGACUCAAUAGGCACAGAAUAGAGAAAAUAUAAUCUGCCAUGAAAUUCCUUGUUCCAUAGCCAGUAUCAAUUCAAACUGGUUGUCAAAGGCUUUUAGAAUGUACUAGAUUAUCCCAUUUGAACUGAUCAUAUAAAUUCUGUCCUCAGGAAGCUUAGCUGACAUCCCUUGAUUCACAAAAAAUUUGAUUUCCUUAGUCUGAUAUCUGUGUGCUUCCUAUUCUGACAUCAACUGGCCUUUCCAGCUUUAGCUCCCCAGAGCCUGCAUCCCAGCCACACCAAAUUAUUCUUUACCCCUACAUACUUUCUCCUUCUUUUAUUCUUAUCUUUUAUUCUUAUCUGUCUCUUUCCCUCAACUUUUACAUUUUUGUUUGUUGAGUGCCUACCCUUGCUAGGUCUGAGGAAUACAAAAGGAGGAAAGCAGGGCGAGUCCCUAGCCUUGGAGCCUUAUAGUCUUAGUGAAUCCAUGAAUUAUGCAAACCUUCAUGGCAAAGUUUAAGGGCUAUGGAGGAAUGGAAAGGGGGUUCCAAGGGCCCACAUCAGGGGAUUGGUCUGGUCUGAGCAUUAGGAAAACUUCCUUAAAGAAAAUGAUUUUAUUUUUUUUUUAAAGAUUUCAUUUCUUUAUCUGAGGGGGCAGGGUGAGCAAGUGUGCACAAACAUGUGAACAGGGGAGAGGCAGAGGAAAAGAAUCCCAAGCAGACUCUUGCUGAGAGCGGAGCCCAACACAGGGCUCAAUCUCACAACCUCAGAAUCAUGUCCCGAGCUGAGCUCAAGAGUUCCCUGGUUGGCUUUCAAUAAAAGACCAACCCUACAAGCCCCCAGUGGCAACCCUGUCAGUAACCCCUCUCACUCCUGAGAGCUUUUUCUGUAUCCUUGCUUAAUAAACUUCUAUCACUUUAUUCAUUCUCCUUUGUCCACAAGAUUCAUUCUUCAACUCCAUAAGACAUCAGAGUUGUUUUUAUGAAGAAGCUUCUGGAAGGGAUCAGAUGAGAAGGGAAGGGAGUGCAAUUAAGAAAAGUGAGUUGUAGAGAGGGGAGAGGCUAGACCUCUGUCUUGCACAGUGGGAAGGACAGUGGUGUCAUCUAGUGGGGUCUGUGUGUCCUGGGAAAGUCUGGUGGCUCAUUUUGAAGAAAGCUCUCUGAAUGUUGUGCUUAAAGGGAUGUUUGGGCUGCAAUUGGAUGUGUGACAAUCGAGGCAGAGUGAUGGGAUUGGAACAGUGGAUGGGAAGGAGCUUGCCGAGCCAGAUAGAAGAGGAGGCCAAGAACUAACCUAAAGACUAGGGAGAAUAAAUAGAGCUGGCAAAGAGGGUCAAAAAAGAAAGAAUGAGGAUGUGGUGUCAAAAGAACAGGGAAGAGAGUACAAAGGACUAGCCCCAAAGGCCAAGUGAGCCUCACAAAGGGGAAAAGAAUGUCAAAAAGAAGACUAAAUUCGAAGUCCAGAAGGCAGAGCACAGGUGUCCCUGGAGCUAGAGCUUCAGGUGCAGGUGGGACUAGAAGGUGGCUGGGGGAGAGGUGGCUGAGGAGGCCUGGAGGCCAGUCGAGCUGGAUCAAGUGGGGACUCAGUAAGGAGUUUGGAUGCCAUUCUGAGCGACGGUAAAGGGUUGUUAAAGGUUUGAUUUUGUUUGCCUUAUUAUUUUUUUUUUAUUGUUAAAGAUUGUAUUUAUUUAUUUAAGAGAGAGGGUAAGUGAGAGAGAGAGAAUAUGAGAGCAUGAGCAGGGUUAGGGGCAGAGGGAGAGGGAGCGACUCUCCGCUGGGCGGGGAGCCCAACCCAUGGCCCCAUCCCAGGACCCUGGGAUCAUGACCUGAACUGAAGGCAGAUGCUUAACCAACUGAGCCACCCAGGCACCCAGUUUGUGUUCUUAAUUAGAAACAAAAUGCAUGCUCCUUGUAAAUAAAAUAAGAACCACUCUCCACCAAAACAAACUCUGUAGCACCAAAGAAAUGUAUAUAUUAACAACUCAAAGUUCCUUCUGCUAAAUCCCACUCCUCAGCCAGCACUUUGUUGUUAUCAUUCCAGACUUUCUGCCAUUCACAAACAUCCUUAGUUUUGUGAAAACAGGAUCAUGCUACAUAUAAUUUUUGCAACUUCCCUUACACAAUCAGCGGUAAUCUGGGGUUUCCUUCUGGGUGGAUACAAGCAGAUGUGCCCCACUGGUUCCAAUGGCUGCACAGUACUCCACAGCCUGGAUAUAUAUACCCUUGGUUACUACUGCUGUAUAACAAACUGCCACAAAAUUAGCAGGUUAAAUGAUACAAAGUUGUUACCUCACAGUUUCCGUGGGUCAGGAGUCUGGCACAGAGUGGCUGGUUCUCUGCUCAGGGUCUCCCCAGGGCUGUCCUCUCAUCUGAGACUUAGAGUCCUCUUCCAACCUCUUUCACAUUGUUGGCAGAAUUAACUUCCUUGCAGUUUCAGAACGAGUUUGUUUCCUUGCUGGCUGUCAGACAGGGUCACUCAAGAGCCUCAAAGCUUCCUUUCAUUCCUUACCAUGUAUUCCUUACCAUGUUGCAGUGGUUUAGCGCCUGCCUUUGGCUGAGGGCGCGAUCCUGGAGACCUGGGAUUGAAUCCCACAUCGGACUCCCAGUGCAUGGAGCCUGCUUCUCCCUCUGCCUAUGUCUCUGCCUCUCUCUCUCUCUGUGUGACUAUUAUAAAUAAAUAAAAAUUUAAAAAAAUAGAUAGAAAAAAAAAA
rnacentral:lncRNA from 1 species